UGGGGAAUUUUGCGCAAUGGGCGAAAGCCUGACGCAGCAACGCCGCGUGGGUGAUGAAGUCCUUUGGGACGUAAAACCCUGUCGGUUGGGACGAAAUGGCUCGCAAGAGCACUUGACUGUACCAGCAAAGGAAGCCCCGGCUAACUCCGUGCCAGCAGCCGCGGUAAUACGGGGGGGGCAAGCGUUGUUCGGAAUUACUGGGCGUAAAGGGCGUGUAGGCGGUCGAGCAAGUCAGUUGUGAAAGCCCCGGGCUCAACCUGGGAAUUGCAACUGAUACUGCACGGCUAGAGUUCAGGAGAGGAAAGCGGAACUCCCAGUGUAGCGGUGAAAUGCGUAGAUAUUGGGAGGAACACCUGUGGCGAAGGCGGCUUUCUGGACUGAAACUGACGCUGAGGCGCGAUAGCCAGGGGAGCAAACGGG
rnacentral:rRNA from 1 species